AUGGUGGAAGCAGCGGGGCCUUUCCGGAGAAGGGGCGGCACCAUGGAGGAGGUGCAGAUGGAGGAGGCAUUCAUCUUCUCUCAAACCAUCAAGGACCUCAAGGCUCUGCGACCGCAGCUGUAUUCUGCAGCAGAGUAUUUCGAACUAGCCUACACACAGGAAGGCGGAAAGCAGGCGGUGAUGAGUAACCUCAAGGAGUACGCUGUGAAGGCCCUCAUCAACACUGUAGAUCACCUAGGAUCCAUAUCCUUCAAAGUCUCCAGCCUUGUUGAUCAAAAGCUCGACGAGGUGGCCGAAGCCAAUCUGCGGGCCUCCUGCAUCCAGCAGAGAGCUCAAACGAUCCAAGCAUGCGUGAACAGAGAAGGCCUGACGCAGCAAUCAUUGGUGAUCACCGCUCCAAAGUAUCACAAGAGGUACAUCUUACCAGCAGGAGAUGGUUCAGUUCCCAAUGCCGUGCCCAACUUCAGCGAGAUGAAUAAGGCCAAGAGCAGGACUACACAGAUGCAUCAGGCCUUCCGUGCAGCAGCAGCAUCUGCAGCUCAAACAAAAAACAAAGACAAGCAAGCUUCAUUCCGCAAGCUCCGGUCGAUUGCCCGUGCACCUUCUCAGAGUGCACGUUCAUCCUCUCCAGCACAGCAUCCGCGCUUCGUGCCACUUUCUGAUACUGCAAUACCCACCAAAAGAGAUAAAAGAUCGGAUUCACCAAUGUAUUCGACAACUCCACUCACAAGGUCUGGGUCACUCUCAAAGAAGUCAUCCUUGCUCAAGACAUCAAGUGUCAGGGUCCAGAUGCAGACAACUUCAGAUCCCAAGAGAUUGGUACCGCUGCGGUCAUACGCUGAUAGGUACAAUGACGAUUCCAAGGAAAGCGAUCAGACUCUGAAGAAGAGCAAGAAGUUCCUCAAGUCUCUGCUCAGUAGGCGCAAGUCUGGAAAAGAAGAACCACUGCAGGAUAGUGUCCCUUAG
rnacentral:rRNA from 1 species